rnacentral:rRNA from 1 species
ACAUACGACCAUAGGGUGUGGAAAACAGGGCUUCCCGUCCGCUCAGCCGUACUUAAGCCACACGCCGGUGAGUUAGUAGUUGGGUGGGUGACCACCAGCGAAUCCUCACUGUUGUACGUUU